rnacentral:rRNA from 1 species
ACCUACGGGGGGCAGCAGUGGGGAAUAUUGGGCAAUGGGCGCAAGCCUGACCCAGCAACGCCGCGUGAAGGAAGAAGGCUUUCGGGUUGUAAACUUCUUUUAAGAGGGAAGAGUAGAAGACGGUACCUCUUGAAUAAGCCACGGCUAACCACGUGCCAGCAGCCGCGGUAAUACGUAGGUGGCAAGCGUUGUCCGGAUUUACUGGGUGUAAAGGGCGUGUAGCCGGGCCGGCAAGUCAGAUGUGAAAUCCCAAGGCUCAACCAUGGGACUGCUUUUGAAACUGUCAAACUAGAGUACGGGAGAGG